rnacentral:rRNA from 1 species
UACGUAGGGUGCAAGCGUUGUCCGGAAUACUGGGCGUAAAGCGUGCGCAGGCGGCGCGUUAAGACAGGUGUGAAAGCCCCGAGCUUAACUUGGGAAUUGCGCUUGUGACUGGCGUGCUGGAGUGUGGCAGAGGGAGGUGGAAUUCCACGUGUAGCAGUGAAAUGCGUAGAGAUGUGGAGGAACACCGAUGGCGAAGGCAGCCUCCUGGGCCAGCACUGACGCUCAUGCACGAAAGCGUGGGGAGCAAACAGG